GCUUGAGUAUGUUUGAGGCAGGCGGAAUGCGUGGUGUAGCGGUGAAAUGCUUAGAUAUCACGCAGAACCCCGAUUGCGAAGGCAGCCUUCCAAGCCAUGACUGACGCUGAUGCACGAAAGCGUGGGGAUCAAACAGGAUUAGAUACCCUGGUAGUCCACGCAGUAAACGAUGAUCACUAGCUGUUUGCGAUACACUGUAAGCGGCACAGCGAAAGCGUUAAGUGAUCCACCKGGGGAGUACGCCGGCAACGGUGAAACUCAAAGGAAUUGACGGGGGCCCGCACAAGCGGAGGAACAUGUGGUUUAAUUCGAUGAUACGCGAGGAACCUUACCCGGGUUUGAACGCAUUCGGACCGAGGUGGAAACACCUUUUCUAGCAAUAGCCGUUUGCGAGGUGCUGCAUGGUUGUCGUCAGCUCGUGCCGUGAGGUGUCGGCUUAAGUGCCAUAACGAGCGCAACCCUUGCCACUAGUUACUAACAGGUUAGGCUGAGGACUCUGGUGGGACUGCCAGCGUAAGCUGCGAGGAAGGCGGGGAUGACGUCAAAUCAGCACGGCCCUUACAUCCGGGGCGACACACGUGUUACAAUGGCGUGGACAAAGGGAAGCCACCUGGCGACAGGGAGCGAAUCCCCAAACCACGUCUCAGUUCGGAUCGGAGUCUGCAACCCGACUCCGUGAAGCUGGAUUCGCUAGUAAUCGCGCAUCAGCCAUGGCGCGGUGAAUACGUUCCCGGGCCUUGUACACACCGCCCGUMWAUCAAAAUUCAAACGGUCUUUAUAUUUGCGGUAAGCGGAUACGAAAGCGUUCUCCGCAUUAUCCAGAUACCGAAGGAAACCUUGGUGGAAUGGAAGCCCG
rnacentral:rRNA from 1 species